GUAGGGAAUAUUGGGCAAUGGUCGGAAGACUGACCCAGCCAUGCCGCGUGCAGGAAGACGGCCCUCUGGGUUGUAAACUGCUUUUAUCUGGGAAGAAAAAGGCCAUGCGUGGCAAAUUGCCGGUACCAGAUGAAUAAGCACCGGCUAACUCCGUGCCAGCAGCCGCGGUAAUACGGAGGGUGCGAGCGUUGUCCGGAUUUAUUGGGUUUAAAGGGUGCGUAGGCGGCUGAUUAAGUCAGCGGUGAAAGACUUCGGCUUAACCGGAGAAGUGCCGUUGAUACUGGUUGGCUUGAGUGUCGGAGGGGUACAUGGAAUUGAUGGUGUAGCGGUGAAAUGCAUAGAUACCAUCAGGAACACCGAUAGCGAAGGCAUUGUACUGGCCGACAACUGACGCUGAUGCACGAAAGUGUGGGGAUCGAACAGGAUUAGAUACCCUAGUAGUCC
rnacentral:rRNA from 1 species